CUAAGGAUAAACUGCUCAAGGGCAAGUGAGGCCAACGCAAAUAAUUGAAUUAAGGAAUAAACAUACCAGGUUGAACGUCAAGAGGAUGGAGUGAUGAUCGGAGUCGAUGUUAUCAAGUUGAUCUCCCAACGAUUCGUGUCUUUAUACACGAAGUCGUUUAGCAAGGACUUAUUCCGCUGUGCUCUUAGAAUUAUAGAACCUCACCAUCAACUCUGAUUUAUUUGAGGAGAUGUCUAUUCUGUUUUCAAGACCGUGUAAUGAAAUACUUGGCUUCUAUGUUAUCAAUUGACUUGGCCUUGUGAAAUUCUCAA